GCAGGAGGCGGCGGGGUCGCGCUGACCGGGCCCGCCCCGCCCCGCAGAGACGAGAUGGUGAAGGAGACCGAGUAUUAUGACAUCCUGGGGGUAAAGCCCAGCGCCUCCCGGGAGGAGAUCAAGAAAGCCUAUCGCAAGCUGGCGCUCAAGUACCACCCGGACAAGAAGCCGGGUGAGGGCGAGAAGUUUAAACUUACAUCCCAGGCAUAUGAAGUGCUUUCAGAUCCCAAGAAAAGGGACGUUUAUGACCAGGGCGGAGAACAGGCAAUUAAAGAAGGAGACUCAGGUGGCCCCAGCUUCUCUUCACCCAUGGACAUCUUUGACAUGUUCUUUGGUGGUGGAGGACGGACGGCCAGAGAGAGAAGAGGCAAGAACGUUGUACAUCAGUUGUCUGUAACUCUUGAAGACUUAUAUAAUGGAGCCUCAAAGAAAUUGGCCCUCCAGAAAAAUGUAAUUUGUGAGAAAUGUGAAGGCAUUGGUGGGAAGAAGGGGUCCAUGGAGAAGUGCCCGCUGUGCAAGGGGCAGGGGAUGCUGACCCGCACCCAGCAGACGGGCCCGGGCGCGGUGCGGCAGGUCCAGACCGUGUGCGUGGAGUGCAGGGGCCAGGGCGAGCGCGUCAACCCCAAAGGGCGCUGUGGGUGCUGCCGCGGUGCCAAGGUGCCCCGCGAGAGGAAGAUUAGCCAGCUGUUCUCCAAGUGUACCCUGAAUAUUUUGUGGCUUUCUAAUCCCAUAUCAGAGAUGAGACGAAAAGUAAAAGAAUCAACACCCAGAAAGAAGAACACAGGUAUGAAAGAUGGGCAGAAGAUGCUGUUCCACGGAGAAGGAGGUCAGGAACCUGGGCUGGGGCCCGGUGAUGUCAUAAUUGUGCUUGAUCAGAAGGACCGUAGUGUCUUUCAGAGACGAGGCCAUGACUUAAUCAUGAAAAUGAAAAUUCAUCUUUCUGAAGCUCUUUGUGGCUUCAAGAAGACAGUAAAAACCCCGGAUGAUCGGAUUCUUGUUAUUACAUCCAAAUCAGGUGAGGUGAUAAAGCAUGGGGACCUGAAGUGUGUGCGAAACGAAGGAAUGCCCAUCUGCGAAGCACCCCUGGAAAAAGGGACUCUGAUCAUACAAUUUUUGGUAAUCUUUCCUGAAACACACUGGCUUUCUCCAGAAAAGCUUCCUCAGCUGGAAGCUCUGCUCCCUCCUCGACAGAAAGUGAGGAUUACAGAUGACAUGGAUCACGUGGAGCUGAAGGACUUUAAUCCCAGUGAGCAGAGCUGGCGCCAGCACGGGGAGGCCUACCAGGAGGAUGAUGACGGGCCCGGGCCGGAGUGCAGUGCCAGACGGCGUGACAUGGCAGUCAGCGCAGCCCUGCCGGACUAGCACAUGAAGAAUGUAAAGUUGGCACAAUGAAAAUGGCAUCGCUUUAAUGGCCUCGUGUUUGGGGUGUCCUGUGUAUGUGUUCAGCAUUCAAUUGCUAAGUGUCUUUUUGGGUUUUCUUUUGGUUGUAACUCAAGUUAUAGCUUAAUUUAUCUUUAAAUGUUUUAAGUGUAAAUCA